rnacentral:rRNA from 1 species
GACGAACGCUGGCGGCGUGCUUAACACAUGCAAGUCGAACGGAAAGGCCUCUUUCGGGGGGUACUCGCGUGGCGAACGGGUGAGUAACACGUGAGUAACCUGCCCUUGACUUUGGGAUAACUUCAGGAGACUGGGGCUAAUACCGGAUAGGAGCUCCUGCUGCAUGGUGGGGGUUGGAAAGUUUCGGCGGUUGGGGAUGGACUCGCGGCUUAUCAGCUUGUUGGUGGGGUAGUGGCUUACCAAGGCUUUGACGGGUAGCCGGCCUGAGAGGGUGACCGGGCACAUUGGGACUGAGAUACGGCCCAGACUCCUACGGGAGGCAGCAGUGGGGAAUAUUGCACAAUGGGUGGAAGCCUGAUGCAGCAACGCCGUGGGCGGGAUGACGGCCUUCGGGGUGUAAACCGCUUUCGCUCAGGACGAAGCUUUGUGUGACGGUAGUGGGUAAAGAAGCACCGGCUAACUACGUG